CUUAUGUACGUUUCUGUUACUCUCUCUCUCUCUCUCAAUCUUUCAAUCAUCGUUCCUUUCCUCAUUCAAAACCCUAAUCACCGAAUCGGCUACUCAGGAGUUCAAUCGACCCUGUGCAACAACGUUUAAUCAAUCUUCAAUACUCAAUAGUGAACAUCGACGAAGUUGAAUGAAGGUGUGCUUGGGUGACGGCUGGAUCUGGAUGUUAUUUAGGGUUUGCUUGAAGUUUGCAGGGAAGCAACGGACUGGAACAAUCAAACAAGAAGGCAAAAAUUUGCAAGACAAAGAUGAUGUGCUGAUGUUAGUGAUGUUAAGAAGAAAAAGUCAAAUGAGAAAGAAAAAGUCAAUCGAGUGAAGAAGAUAAUGGAUGGAAAGUUUUGGUUAACAAAGCUCAAAGUUCACAAAAAGGUUUAAAUCCAUCAAGCUCUAAAGGUGCUAAAGGUAUGCAACGAUUGAGGCGUAGUCAUACCACGUGCUCUAAUAUAUGGCUAAUUUCAUUAGAAACUACUUUUUUCUGAUUUUUGUUUUUGGUAGCCAGCUUUUUAGUACAGAAUAACACAAGGGUUAAGAUAACCUGUUUUGGCUAAUUCUUAGAUCAACUUCAUAUCAAAAGGUGAUUUGGAUUAUGAUUAUAUUGUCUUUCCAUAUCUUGAACUGGGUUAUUGUGGAUCUAGAGUCAAGCUCUUUUUGUCUCUC